GUUGCUGACCAUAGUGAGGGCGACUGGAGCUCGACCGCAGCAGUCUCUGUAGGUUCUCUAUCUGUCAUCAUAACCUUGAUCAUGUUUGGGGUUUUGUAUCUGAAAAAACCAACGGGCGAAACAAGCAGCCAAACUGAAUUAAGCCAGAGCUCCUUAUAUUUUCUUCAGGAUUCUUUAAAUAUCUCUCAGAUUUCAGAUGGGCUCCAAUUCCCACUGAAUCAUUUGUUGAAAACUUCAUAAGCAAUGACUUUCUUUGGUGCUGAACAAACAGAAGUUACAUACGUCCAACAGCCUGUUACAAAAUGUAGUUCUUCUUCAUAUGUUUCCACUUAAUGUUGACAUUCAAGUCUCUUUGUGUACUGUAACUUCUAAAUUACUAAUGCUGUGCCAUCUUUU